GUAGGUGAACCUGCGGAAGGAUCAUUACAAAUCAUAAUGCUUACCAUUUUCUCUCUCAAUAUGAUGGGGGGGAGUGGUGUAGCACAUGUGCCCGGACUAUAAUUCCUUACGUACUACGUAUGUAUGUGUAUUUUAUAGUCUGUGACAUUUACGCUUGUUGUGUUUGACAGAGUUUAUAUUACGAUAUAUAAAAUAGACAACUUUUAACAAUGGAUCUCUUGGCUCUUGCAUCGAUGAAGAACGCAGCAUC
rnacentral:misc_RNA from 1 species